rnacentral:rRNA from 1 species
AGUGAACGCUGGCGGUAGGCCUAACACAUGCAAGUCGAACGGCAGCACAGUAAGAGCUUGCUCUUACGGGUGGCGAGUGGCGGACGGGUGAGGAAUACAUCGGAAUCUACUUUUUCGUGGGGGAGAACGUAGGGAAACUUACGCUAAUACCGCAUACGACCUACGGGUGAAAGCAGGGGAUCUUCGGACCUUGCGCGAUUGAAUGAGCCGAUGUCGGAUUAGCUAGUUGGCGGGGUAAAGGCCCACCAAGGCGACGAUCCGUAGCUGGUCUGAGAGGAUGAUCAGCCACACUGGAACUGAGACACGGUCCAGACUCCUAAGGGAGGCAGCAGUGGGGAAUAUUGGACAAUGGGCGCAAGCCUGAUCCAGCCAUACCGCGUGGGUGAAGAAGGCCUUCUGGUUGUAAAGCCCUUUUGUUGGGAAAGAAAAGCAGCAGGUUAAUACCCCGCUGUUCUGACGGUACCCAAAGAAUAAGCACCGGCUAACUUCGUG